GGGUUGUGAGGUUAAGCGACUAAGCGUACACGGUGGAUGCCCUGGCAGUCAGAGGCGAUGAAGGACGUGCUAAUCUGCGAUAAGCGUCGGUAAGGUGAUAUGAACCGUUAUAACCGGCGAUUUCCGAAUGGGGAAACCCAGUGUGUUUCGACACACUAUCAUUAACUGAAUC
rnacentral:rRNA from 2 species